CGAGGUGUAGCGCAGGUGGUAGCGCGCCUGCUUUGGGAGCAGGAUGUCGCAGGUUCAAGUCCUGUCACCUCGACCA
rnacentral:tRNA from 1 species